rnacentral:rRNA from 1 species
AUGACGGAGAGGUCCAAUCAACUGAAGGAGAAAAUAAUCGGGUUAUUUUCAUGCGGUACCAUAGUUGAGCAACUGAACCUUGUAGACACACUACAACACCUAAGCGUAGAUCAUCAUUUUCAUGAACAAAUUGACUCCACAUUAAGAAGCACUCAUGCUGGUGAAUUCAAUAGCUCCAGCCUUCAUCAUGUCGCCCUUCGGUUCCGCAUACUGAGGCAGCAAGGCUUUUGGGUGUCUCCAGAUGUAUUCAGCAAGUUCAAAGACGAACAUGGGGCCUUCCAUGUUACCGUAACUAACGACCCAAGGGGGCUAUUAAGUCUAUACAAUGCAGCAUACCUUUUUAUCCAUGGGGAGACAGAGCUUGAAGAAAGCAUCUCAUUUGCGAGGCGACACCUCGAAUCGAUGGAAGGUAAGCUUGAUUACCCAUUGGCAGAGCAAGUCAGGCGCGCCCUUCACUUGCCGCUGCCAAGGACCUUGAAGAGAGUAGAGGUGCUGCAUUAUAUGUCAGAGUACAAAGAAGAGCCGCCGCACAACACCUCCAUUUUGGAGUUCGCCAAACUGGAUUUUAACCUUCUGCAACGUCUCCACUUGAAGGAGCUCAAGGCUCUCUCUAGAUGGUGGAAAAAUCUUUACAGAGAAGUGGGGCUAAACUACUCGCGGGAUCGUGUGGUUGAGUGCUACUUCUGGGCGUAUACAGCAUACUAUGAGAAAGAGUAUACACGUGCAAGGACGAUUCUUGCCAAGAUGAUGGAAGUAAUAGUAAUGACAGACGACACUUACGAUGUCCGUGCUACUUUGGUGGAGUGUAGACAGCUCAAUGAAGCUAUACAAAGAUGGGAGGAGAGUGCUAUUUCUCUUCUACCAGAGUACUUACAGAAGUUCUACCUCAAGCUGAUGAGCACCUUCAAGGAGUUUGAGGACGUAUUGAAACCGGAUGAGAAGUACCGGGUCGCUUUUAGCACAAAAGCGUUUCAAAUAUUAUCAAGCAACUAUCUCCAAGAAGCCGAAUGGUUUCAUCAGAAUCACAAGCCAAGAUUCAAUGAUCAAGUGAAGGUAUCUGGUGUGUGCUCAGGUGGACCAUGGGUAUGUGUUGGGUUGCUAGUGGGUAUGGGCGAUACUGCAACCAAGGAGGCACUGGAAUGGGCCCUCGGCUGUACUGAUGCCGUCAGGGCUUGCGCAGAGGUGACACGUUUCAUGAAUGAUCUUGCUUCAUUUAAGCGUGGGAAGAACAAAAAUGAUGUGGUCAGCUCCGUGGAAUGUUACAUCAGUGAGCACGGUGUGGCGAGUGAGGUCGCCAUUGCCAAGAUAGGGUCUCUGAUCGAAGAUGCAUGGAAGACUACGAACCAAGCACGCAUUGAGCUCCCUGAGAUGCUGCUCCCGGCGGUGCAGCGAGUCGCAAAUAUAACGAUCAGCAUGCCCUUCAUGUAUGAUGACAAGACAGAUGCCUUUACGUUCAGCAGCCAUCUUGAGGGGACGAUUAAGCGACUGUUUGUCAGUCCCAUUGAGCUCUAG